GACGAACGCUGGCGGCGUGCCUAAUACAUGCAAGUAGGACGCAGUUGCGAACGGGUGAGUAACGCGUAGGUAACUACCUAUUAGAGGGGGAUAACUAUUGGAAACGAUAGCUAAUACCGCAUACUAGUAGAUGGACCUGCGUUGUAUUAGCUAGUAGGUAGGGUAAUGGCCUACCUAGGCAACGAUACAUAGCCGAGCCUGGAAGGUGGACCGCCACACUGGGAAUGAGACACGGCCCAGACUCCUACGGGGAGCAGCAGUAGGGAAGCUUCGGCAAUUGGGGGAACCCCGACCGAGCAAAGCCGGGUUAGUGAAGAAGGUUUUCGGAUCUGAAAUGUCUGUUGUUAAGGAAGCGGUACUUAACGAGAAAGGGACGGCUAACUACGUGCCAGCAGCCGCGGUAAUAC
rnacentral:rRNA from 1 species